UUCUCCGUGGCGCAAUUGGCUAGCGCGUUCGACUGUUAUAUUCAUAUGUGGCAUCGAGAGGUUGACAGUUCAACCCUGUCCGGGGAAG